CAUCAGUCUAAGAAAACAAAACUCCAGUUAGCCCCUAGAACUUUGCUGGCUUUAAUGCUGGAGCAGCAAAAGCCAGGGGAUUAGAUGAAUUGCAGUAGGAGAUUUGAGUCACACCCUAGAACCCCUGAGGUGACCUGCCUUCAUUUCAUGUGCUUUAUUUUGUCCCAACAGGGACUGAAAUCAACAUCUCUUCGCUCUGUUACUCUCCUGCUGUGAUUGCUUUUAGCUCUAGUAUGACAGAAUGCUCAGCUCUGGUGGUUAGGGCACAUCAGCUAAAAACGGGAAGUGGGGUUGCGGCAUUCUUUAGCAGAGGGCUGUUUUGAUCACACAAAGGUUGAGGUUGGAAGGGACCACUGGGGGUGACCUAGUCCAACUUCCCUGCUUAAGCAGGGACAGCCAGAGCACAUUACUCAGGACUGUCUCCAGACAGCUCUUGAAUGCCUCCAGGGGAGGAGACUACACAGCCUCUCCAGGCAGCCUAUUUCAGUGCUCAGUCACCCUCACAGUAAAAAAGUUUUUCCUUGGGUAGAACACCCUGUAUUUUAGUUUAUGCCCAUUGCUUCUUGUCAUACCGUCUGGCACCACCAAGAAGCAUCUGGACCCAUCCUCUUGACACCUUCCCAGGGAUCUCCUUUUUUACCACAUCUCUAACGUCUGUUUCAAACCAUUUGUCUUUUAAGAGGAAUGUUGCUGUUGCUACUUUCUCUGUGUUAGGUUAUAAGAUGAAUAGAAGUAAGUGUAUGCCCUUUAACUCUGUGGCCACAACUGAAAGAGGGAUAAGAAUCUCUCAGUUGUUCAACUAAAGAUCUGGUAGAGCGUUUCAGGAAACUGGUGCAUUUGUGCACCAGUAGAAAAACUGAUUAUUGAGAAAGGAAGUUGAGCUUCCAUUGCUGUCCAGAGAGAUCCCAUUUAUUAAGUUUACACUGCCCAUAUGUCUGCAGUACUGGCCUACCACAUCGUCUGCCUACUGUGACGGUAGUUCAGGUGCCAUCCUAGAAGAGAAAGGACCAGCCUGAUGGCUCAGCGGAGGGCUUCAUCAAGCAGGAUCUUCAUGCUCUCUUCAGGGAAGCAUGCUGAAAAAGAUGCCAAAUUAACGCUGCUCCUUAGCUGCUAACCAAAAGUAGGAAAGAGCCACCAUUAACCAUGAGGAACAGAACAACCUAUUAUCAGGGAAAAAAAAUCAAGCCUGCAAUACAAGUGUUUCUGUGCUCCACUUUUAUUGCCCUCCAAUUCUUGUACAUUUUGAAACAGACUCUGCUAUAAACUGGUAAGAUGAAAGAGAA